AUAAGCAUGCAAGUCGGGGGUGCCAGCAAUGGCAACCGGCGUAAGGGGCAGUUAAGGCAUGGGUUACCUACCUCGGGGUUCGGGAUAGCCAUCAGAGAUGGUGGGUAAUACCGGAUGACCUCGCGAGAGCAAAGAUUUAUCGCCCUGAGAGGGGCCCAUGUGAUAUUAGCUAGUUGGCGGGGUAAUGGCCCACCAAGGCUUAGAUGUCUAGCGGGUGUGAGAGCACGACCCGCGCCACUCGCACUGAGACACUGGCGAGACACCUACGGGUGGCUGCAGUCGAGGAUCUUCGGCAAUGGGGGCAACCCUGACCGAGCGACGCCGCGUGUGCGACGAAGGCCUUCGGGUUGUAAAGCACUGUCGAGGGGGAGAAAGGCCGAAAGGCGUGAUCUAUCCCUGGAGGAAGCUCGGGCUAAGUUCGUGCCAGCAGCCGCGGUAAGACGAACCGAGCGAACGUUGUUCGGAAUAACUGGGCUUAAAGGGCGCGUAGGCGGGCCGCCAAGUUCGAGGUGAAAUCCUCCGGCUCAACCGGAGAACUGCCUCGAAUACUGGAGGCCUCGAGGCGGGUAGGGGCAUGCGGAACUGUGGGUGGAGCGGUGAAAUGCGUUGAUAUCCACAGGAACUCCGGUGGCGAAGGCGGCAUGCUGGACCCGAUCUGACGCUGAGGCGCGAAAGCCAGGGGAGCAAACGGGAUUAGAUACCCCGGUAGUCCUGGCCCUAAACGAUGGGUACUAGGUAGUAGACUUGACAUG
rnacentral:rRNA from 1 species